rnacentral:lncRNA from 1 species
GCACUAUCUUCUGGUUCUUCUCCUCUUCAACCUCCAUUCUCCCCCUCUCCCUUCUUUUCCUCUCUCUUUCACCCUCCCCCACUCUUUCGUGUCUCUUUCCUCCUCUGAAUAACCAAGCUGUUUUGCUUCCGAAAGUAGAGAGAGAGGGAGAGAGAGAGAGAGAGAGAGAGAGAGAGAGAGAGAGAGAGGAGAGAGAGGCCUUGCUGUGAAUGGAAGACAGGAGGGACUCUGGUACAUCUGGGAGUGGAAACUUGAUGCUUCUGGGCUGUGAUUUGCCAAGGUCUCGCCAAAGAAGAGGAGAGGGAGCAAACAGACACCAGCAAAGCAUUCCUGUAACACGAUGUGCUACACAAGUUCCCAGUAGCGACAGACGCCUAAAGGAGCCUGUUUGUGUGCUGUGUGGCCACGUUCUGCUGUGACUGGAUCUUGUCUUCUGCCUGGCUCCUCGAUUUCCGUCCGGCUGGAUUUGGGGACAACACUGCCUGGCGCAGACAGAUCAAAUGACACUUCAAAGAAGCAUAAAAUGAACAGACUAUUCAAACAAAGGUAAUUUACAUUUUUUUAUUUGAUAAAACCUGACUGAUGUACAAAACGAAAAUAGAAUAUUGUUUACUGGAAAACAGGUCUACAAUCUCUCACACAUCUUCUCUUGCAACAGAUAGAAUUCCAGAAACAUCUAAGUUCCUCUGUGUACAGUUAUUUCUCCUGUAGGAGCCUUUGUAUGGAUGUAAUACACACAUAUAUGUAUAUGCAUAGAGCAUGACAUAAAUAAAACCUGCAAUAGCCUAUAAGAAAGAAGCUCCUAUUUAGAGGAAAGGGUAAGAUACUUUUAUUAUAAUGAAAGCCAGUUCACUUCAUCACUUGGACCAUGGACACUAAUGUAAAUAAAAUGGCUUAAAAAAUAAGACAAUAGUAGUAUUGACUGUAGACUACAAUUUGCACAUUUGUAAUUCUUAUAAAUGAAAUAUUUAAAAUGAUUUGGUGUUGGGCCAGUUCCUUAUGCAUUCUGCAUUCAUGUGUAUAGGAUUCAAAGACGUUCCAAAUAUUGAUCAUAAACCAAGUGUAUAUGAAUUAAUUAAAUAGCAUAUUUCUGGCCCAAAUAUGAGGAAAACCAUAACUUUUUACUGUAAAUCAGGAGAGAUUGUUUUAUCCCCAAAUAAACUAGGAUGUUUCAAGUCAUGUUUCAGCAAUUUGGAGACCUACAAACUAUCUGCAAGCAAGCACAACAACCAUACUCUAAUCUACUAGAUAGUAGUGAGAAUUUAGUGCUUGAAUUCAGGCUGCUUGAAUUCAGUAUAUCCUUCUCUAUGCUGAUUUUCAAGUAGAUAUUCUGUAGCUCAGCUAGAUAAUCUUUUAAAAGCAAAAAAAAAA